rnacentral:rRNA from 1 species
UACGAAGGGUGCGAGCGUUGUCCGGAAUUAUUGGGCGUAAAGGGCUCGUAGGCGGUCUGUCGCGUCGGGAGUGAAAACUCAGGGCUUAACCCUGAGCCUGCUUCCGAUACGGGCAGACUAGAGGUAUGCAGGGGAGAACGGAAUUCCUGGUGUAGCGGUGAAAUGCGCAGAUAUCAGGAGGAACACCGGUGGCGAAGGCGGUUCUCUGGGCAUUACCUGACGCUGAGGAGCGAAAGUGUGGGGAGCGAACAGG